AUGGAGCGGGUGUGGGACUCGGGGCGGCGGAUGAGCCGGAGCAUCAGCCGCGGCAUGGGGGCGGAGAACUGGGGCGUCGACGAGGCGUUCCUGCACGGCGGCGGCGGGAGCAGGGCCGGCGCCGACGACGACGAGGAGGCGCUGCGGUGGGCCGCCAUCGAGCGCCUGCCCACCUACAGCCGCAUGAGGACCGCCAUAUUCUCGGCCGAGGCACAGGGCAAGGGGCAGCAGCAGCAGUACAAGGAGGUGGACGUGCGGAGGCUCGACGUCAGCGACCGGCACGAGUUCAUCGAGCGCGUCUUCCGCGUCGCCGACGAGGACAACCAGCGCUUCCUCCAGAAGCUGCGCGACCGCAUCGACAGGUACGUUGCUCAGCUCAGCUCAGCGCCCGUGCAGUGCAGGCCGCGGCCCCCGGCUUCAUCCAAGUUACAACUUCUUCUUCUUCUUCUUCUUCUUCUUCUUCUUGCGAAAUACCACUUUGCAACUUCCUUUUCUACCUUUGAUUUAUUCAACUUAAACAUAGCAAUCCACUUGAGCAACCCGUUUGCAGUUACUCAUUUUUUUGCUCAUAUUCGUGUGCUAAGUACUCCUUCUUACCUCACGGUGAGGUAA
rnacentral:rRNA from 1 species